rnacentral:rRNA from 1 species
UACGAAGGGGGCAAGCGUUGCUCGGAAUCACUGGGCGUAAAGCGCACGUAGGCGGAUUUUUAAGUCAGGGGUGAAAUCCUGGAGCUCAACUCCAGAACUGCCUUUGAUACUGGGAAUCUCGAGUCCGGGAGAGGUGAGUGGAACUGCGAGUGUAGAGGUGAAAUUCGUAGAUAUUCGCAAGAACACCAGUGGCGAAGGCGGCUCACUGGCCCGGUACUGACGCUGAGGUGCGAAAGCGUGGGGAGCAAACAGG